UACGUAGGGGUCGAGCGUUGUCCGGAGUUACUGGGCGUAAAGCGCGCGCAGGCGGCGCGAUAAGACCGGCGUGAAAGCCCCCGGCUCAACCGGGGAGGGUCGUUGGUGACUGUCGCGCUUGAAGGCAGCAGGGGCGAGUGGAAUUCCCGGUGUAGUGGUGAAAUGCGUAGAGAUCGGGAGGAACACCCGUGGCGAAGGCGGCUCUCUGGACAACAACUGACACUGAGGCACGAAAGCGUGGGGAGCAAACAGG
rnacentral:rRNA from 1 species